rnacentral:lncRNA from 1 species
CGCACUUGUGAGGAGCAUCAAAACCGCGAUUAAAACGAAAGUUUCAAUUACAGCAGUGAAGAAACAAUUCCACAUAAUGUUUUGGAGAGUGGCCUGAACUCAAAUUCGACUUCAAGUAAUUCGUCGUUGAUUCAUUAUCAUACACAAGAUCAGGUCAAUCCUUGUGGGCAUGAGAAUUCUGCAUCGUCACAAAAUGAUAGUCUUAGUGAACAUAGCACGGAACUGAGUCGAGUAAGGGAGGAAUCUUUUUUUGAACUGAAUCACAUGGAUCCAAUAUGUCUCUAUGAGAAUCUAGAUACCCAGAAUCAAAUGUUAUAGAUUUUGUUUCUUAUUUACUUAAAAAACACGCCAAAAAUAGUUUCAAACUUUCACAUGCUAGAUAUUUUGGAAAGUGUUACCCCACCAAUGACAAAUGGAUUGAACGGCUUUCAUUAUCACUAAGCGCCAGACCAUAUGUAAAAAUGUUUAAGCAAGGGUGCUUAUUUACUUUAUGUAAAAAGAGCAGACUGCGAUCAGAUAAUUCUUAUGGUUUAACAGUAGAUGGAGAUUAUGUUAAACUUUUAGAAUUUAUCGUGGAUUCAAAUGAAUCGAAAGAGUAUACACUUUGUUAUCCAUUAGAAGUGGAUCAAUCUGACGAUCCUUCGAAGCGAAUAAUCAGCGUAUCGCAAGUAUUAACACCUAUGGAUACUGAUAGUAUUCAAAAGGUGUGUGUUCAUAUCGUCUCAGAGAUGCUUCCCGCAGAGAGUACGUUUGUGCUGUUCCAAAUUUUUUGUACGUGUAAAGGCUCAUUCCAAUCUUCACAGUUUAUAAUUUGCAUUAGCAUUUUUCGUACCAUAUAAUUAUGAAGAAAUUGUAUAAGAAAUCAAAACUUUUAUAUCGAA